ACGCUCGACACCUACGGGAGGCAGCAGUGGGGAAUAUUGCACAAUGGGGGAAACCCUGAUGCAGCGACGCCGCGUGAGCGAAGAAGUAUUUCGGUAUGUAAAGCUCUAUCAGCAGGGAAGAAACUGACGGUACCUGACUAAGAAGCACCGGCUAAAUACGUGGCAGCAGCCGCGGUAAUCUGAGCGGGCUGGCAAGGC
rnacentral:rRNA from 1 species